ACGCGGGCAUCAUGCGCUUCUGUAUGUUCAACUGUUGCUUCUCCUGGUUCGGCGUUCUUGCCUUUUUCUUCAACUGUCCGGAGAGCACGUACGCCACCCCUGACGGAUACGUGGGCGCACCGAAACCCACAAGCUUCAACUUCACUUGCAACUUUGACUGCAACUGCACCUCCAGCGUUCUCAACCCUGUCUGCGGCGCUGACUCCGUCGUCUCUACCUGUCUCCGUGCCUUGCAGGCUGCCACAGGGAGCUUCAGCCGAAAAACAUAAAGACCGCACUGUACAGCGAAUGCUCGUGUGUCAACGGCACGCUGAACGACGUCGCGGACGUGAGUGCGGAGUGGCUCCUUCUGGAAUCCGUGCAGGCGAUCCGAUCUCGUUGUCCCGUCAACUGCCCGCUCCUCCUCGUCUACCUGGUUGGCAUCUUCCUUUCGCUCAGCUCGCCCUUCCUCAACGGAGCGGCGGCCACGGCAGCAGC
rnacentral:lncRNA from 1 species